CCAUCUUGGCUUGAGUGUGGUGGGCGGAGCUUCUGCACACGGCCUCGAGCUGAGGCGUCCUCCCUCUGGUUCGUGGCGCUGUGUCUGGGAGGCUGGCUUCGAGGUGUCUGCACCCGCGUCUGUGCGCCAGGGAGGCUAGAGCACAGGAAAACCAAGCCCCAAAUUGCCACCAACUUCGAUGACCUUCAGCAAGUGAAGAGAGCACCAAUGGGAGCCCGUCCCCCCGUGAAACACCCCUCAGCAGGGAAAAGGAGCAGAUGCUGAUCCACAGCACCGCGCGGGUGAAGCUCCAGCGACUCAUCUCGGCGAGAACAUCGACUAGCUUGUGGGAACCACGUUGUUCAUCAUUUGCACCACGGUUUGGCCGCGGGAACAAGACUUCAACGAGAAUCAGCUGAAAGCGUUCUGUGCGAAUCAACUGGCUGGAUGGAACUGACAAUCAAGAGGAUUGGAUUUUUUUUGAAGUUCGCAGAUUGUGUCACACAUCUUCUGCCUCAGUAAAAUUUAUAAUAAAUGGAUGCUUAAGUACAUCACACAUAUUUUAACCUCUGAGAGCUCGUUGCUCGACAUGUGCUGCGUUACCACGGUACACUGGUGUGAAGCCAUUCCAGGCUUCUGGAACUUUUAGACAGCAGCCCACUUUGACGAGCUAAAACCUGUAUGGCCUGCCUACUUCGACCAGUUUCCAGGAGAGAGAGAGAAAGAGCUCCUCAGAUCGAUCAUUCGGCAGAAUUCUGCACACUUUUCACUUUGCAGUGGAGGCAUGGUGGGUUCACGUUUGAACCUCAGUGCGUCGGUGGAAUGACUGGACAAGUAUAGGCAGAUGCUAACUCACCCCUACACACUGCAGGGCUCCUCGGACAGCCCACAGCUACCCAAGUGAACUGCAGCAAAGCUAAAUCCACGGUCAGCUCUAACCUAAAGGCAGGAGAAGCUGCAGUUGUAAAGCAUGACCAGCUCAAGACAGAUAUUCGGGUAUUCCUCCCCCAAACUGCAGAAAUCACAAGUUUGCCUCCCCCAGACCCAAGCGUCCUGCAGCCAGGCGGCUGGGGGCCCCGGGGGUGGGGUGGGGGCGGCCUGAGCAGGGCCCCCAGUUAUCCAGUCCUGCGCUAAUUUUACUUGGUGAAAUUGGGCUAACUAAUGACUCACGGUUAGGUCACAAAUAAUUAGGCAUGAGUCAUCUAUA